GGCUUGGUCUUGCAUAGUGGUUUGAGUGUUGGACCACAAAUCUGGAGAUCUGGGUUCAAUUUCCAGCUUGGCCA